AUGUAGUUUGCUUGUGGACUCACUCAC
rnacentral:piRNA from 1 species